rnacentral:rRNA from 1 species
UACGUAGGGGGCAAGCGUUGUCCGGAAUCAUUGGGCGUAAAGAGCGUGUAGGCGGCCAGAUAAGUCCGCUGUGAAAUCUCGAGGCUCAACUUCGAGCUGUCGGUGGAAACUGUCUGGCUAGAGUCCGGAAGAGGAGAAUGGAAUUCCUGGUGUAGCGGUGAAAUGCGCAGAUAUCAGGAGGAACACCGGUGGCGAAGGCGGGUCUCUGGGCCGAAACUGACGCUGAGGAGCGAAAGCGUGGGGAGCAAACAGG